rnacentral:lncRNA from 1 species
CCCUUCUUCAUUUCAUGUUGGGGCAAAAGGGCCACUUUACUUGAUAUGGCUUCUGAUCCAAGACUCGUAAUCACCAAACGCGUUACAUAUUCUAUCCCGACAUCUAUCCGUAUUACCAUAUAUUAUUCGCGAGGACUAGAAUCUAAAGAAACCCCAUUUUAUCAAAUCCUCUAUCAUCAGAGUCCUUCAAAUAAUGUGCCUAAACUCCAAAUAGAUGAAGUUCCCUUAGAAAGUCCCAAAAUCACAAGCAUGAUUCAAAUAAAACAGUGACAUCAACAGUCUAUAAUAAUGUGCAUUGCACGAGUCAUGGCAUGUGUAAAAAUGAAGGCAGCAAAGCAUAAUUCAUAAUAAAGUAAGUUGGCAAACAAGGAUAAUAUAGACCCCAUAAAAAAGCAUAAGAUGAAUCAUACAUAUGUUUUCCCUCCACAAAUAAGGCCGACCCUCACUCACUUUUGGUGCAAGGCCCACGUGCCCGGCACGUGAAACUCAUCAUAGAAAAAGAUGAAAUUAUUGAAAGAGAAGAUAACAAAGGGCAACUACAAUUGACAGGAAGACAAAGCUGAGUUCAUUAAGAAAAUCUUACAAUAGCAAUGUAUUUAUGAGUACUAUUUUCUAGUUGUCCACAUUAAGGAAGCACAUACUAUGCACACAAAUCCGAUGUUCAUUUGCUACUCUUAGUUAGGCUAAGUCUUUUUUUAUCUUUAUUAGUUUCGACAAUCUCGUUUUCAGCAGUGGUACUUGAUGGCAAAGAAGAAGACCUGGUUCAGUCUAAUAAAGAGGUUCUUCAUUUCAGACCCACAAUCAAGAAGAGAAAAGGUACACAAACUGAAAAUUUUCAAUUCAUAAUUUUUAUUGUGUAGAAGAUUUACCUGAAGUGAUUUAAAUCUCUCGUACGCUGCAAGAAGGAUAAGCGAAGGAGAUGGGUAUGCCGAUUGCUUAAGGUGAAAGAGCUCGUGCCAUCCUCUCCGAGAGAAAGGCUGCCAUGGCAACUCACAGAACAUAAUAAUACUACUUCUCUUCCAGUAACCGUUACAACAGACACUCCUGAGCUUCGGCAGAUCCCCGGAAAUGGGGAAACAGCCCAUCAACACAAGGAGAGUCCAGAAUCUUCUGAAAGCUACAGUCAUGCCGGUAUUCUGAAACUCCCUCAUCAACGCAACAGAGAGUUAGAAGCUUCGGCUGCUAUCAAAGUUCAAGCUGCAUUUCGCGGUUAUCUUGUGAGUUUCUUUGAGAUCCUUUAUUUGGAUGGUAAUUUCACUCAGCAGGUGUUGAAAAUGGAACAUUUAUGAGAACUAAUGAGAGGAGUACAAAAAUCAUCAAUGUCAUCAACAUUCAUAAAGCAUCACACCAAACUGAAACAGCCUAGUAAAAUAAAUCGAUGAAACUUAACUGAGAAAUUCAUUAUGCUUUGUAAGAGUAUAACUUGCUGUCAUCUUGGGGUUUCAGGCAAGGAAAGCACUAAGAGCACUGAAAGGAGUCGUCAAGCUUCAGGCUCUCAUUCGUGGUUGGGCUGUUCGACAGCAAGCUAUCAACACACUCAAGUGUCUACAGUCCAUAGUAAACAUUCAAUCAGAAGUUUUCUCAAAGAGGUGUGAAAGAGUUGAGUUGCAGUGUAAAGAUUACAAAUCACAUGAUUUCAGCGAAAAGGACAUAAAGGUUAAGUUGUGGAAUGUGGUUUCCUUAAUAUAUCUACAUUCAUGUAUUAGCUUCUAUUCUUUAUUACUAAUAGGAAAAGGGAUUGUGAUGACGAAAAGGACAUACGCAUAAUAAACUACAUCAACAAAACAAAGCUUAAGUAAAUCUCACCCCGAUUAGAUAGAAGGGGCAAGGAGUAGAUAGAAUGUCACCAGUCUCUUACAGUGUGCUAUCAUGCAGUUUGAGUUUCAUAAUCAAGGCAGAAAAAACAUGAUAAGGG